rnacentral:ncRNA from 1 species
CAUAGUUUUGGUCCUAAACUUGCCAUUAUUUUUUAUCAAAAUUACACAUGCAAGCCUCCACACACCAGUGAGAAUGCCCACUAAGCCCUAUAACAGUCCAACGGAGCAGGUAUCAGGAUCAGCAGCCCUGGCCGAAGACACCUUGCUAUGCCACACCCACACGGGCCCCCAGCAGUGAUUAACAUUAAGACAUAAGCGCAAGCUUGACUUAGUAAUGAUAAACCAGAGUCGGUAAAUUUCGUGCCAGCCACCGCGGUUAUACGAAAGACUCUAAAUAAUGACCCCCGGCGUAAAGCGUGACUAGAGCCAAAAGUCAAAAAAUUAAAGGACAACCACUGCCCAGCCGUAAAACGCUACUGCCAGUGGGAUCAACACCAACAAAAUGCCUUUAAACAAAAGACCCCUUAACCUCACGAAAACUAAGAAACAAACUGGGAUUAGAUACCCCACUAUGCUUAGCCGUAAACAUAGGUAGAGCCAACACAAUACUACCCGCCAGAGAACUACAAGUGAAAAGCUAGAAACUCUAAGGACUUGGCGGUGCCUUAAACCAGCCUAGAGGAGCCUGUCCUAUAAUCGAUACUCCGCGCUAAACCUUACCACCUCUUGCCAGUCAGCCUAUAUACCGCCGUCGUCCAGCCUACCUCGUGAGAGCCCAACAGUAGGCAAAACAGUUAACAACUAAUACGUCAGGUCAAGGUGUAGCACAUGAGGUGGAAGCGAUGGGCUACAUUUUCUACCACAGAAAACACGAACGCCACAAUGAAACUUGUGCCCGAAGGUGGAUUUAGCAGUAAGAUAUAUAAGAAACAAUACCUUAAACCCUGCUCUGAGGCGCGCACACACCGCCCGUCACCCUCAUCAA